rnacentral:rRNA from 1 species
UACAGAGGUCCCGAGCGUUGUUCGGAUUCAUUGGGCGUAAAGGGUGCGUAGGUGGCGUGGUAAGUCUGGUGUGAAAUCCCGGGGCUCAACCCCGGAACUGCACUGGAUACUGCCAUGCUUGAGUACUGGAGAGGAGAUUGGAAUUUACGGUGUAGCAGUGAAAUGCGUAGAUAUCGUAAGGAAGACCAGUGGCGAAGGCGAAUCUCUGGACAGUUACUGACACUGAGGCACGAAGGCCAGGGGAGCAAACGGG